UUGGAUGGUAUUAAUCAAACUUUAAAUGUAU
rnacentral:piRNA from 1 species